rnacentral:rRNA from 1 species
ACACGGACCAAGGAGUGCAACAUGCGUGCGAGUCCCGGGGUGGCAAACCCGUCGGCGCAAUGAAAGUGAAGGCAGCGCUUUAGGCCUGCUGUGGCGAGAGCCCGUCAGGGCGCAUCGUCGACCGAUCCCUGCGCCACGCUGUGGUGGGAUUUGAGUGAGAGCGUGCCUGUUGCGACCCGAAAGAUGGUGAACUAUGCCUGAAUAGGGUGAAGCCAGGGGAAACGCUGGUGGAAGCUCGCAGCGAUUCUGACGUGCAAAUCGAUCGUCAAAUUUGGGUAUAGGGGCGAAAGACUAAUCGAACCGUCUAGUAGCUGGUUCCCUCCGAAGUUUCCCUCAGGAUAGCUGGAGCCCGGUGCAGUUUUAUCAGGUAAAGCGAAUGAUUAGAGGUCUCGGGGCUGAAACGGCCUCGACCUAUUCUCAAACUUUAAAUGGGUAAGAAGCCCGGCUUGCUCGGUUGAAGUCGGGCGGUGAAUGCCGGGGCUCCCAGUGGGCCAUUUUUGGUAAGCAGAACUGGCGAUGUGGGAUGAACCGAAAGCCGGGUUAAGGUGCCGGAAUCGACGCUCAUGAGAUCCCAUGAAAGGUGUUGGUUGAUACAGACAGCAGGACGGUGGCCAUGGAAGUCGGAACCCGCUAAGGAGUGUGUAACAACUCACU